UCUUUGCAAUGGUGACUUUAAGACAUUGAUAUUGAUAUGACCAAAUAGUUCAAAGACAUAAUUAUUUAUGAUUACAAAGAAGCCUUUCCCUAUAAGUUGGCCAAAACUUAGUAGAUUUCACUUCAUUCCCGAUAAAAUAGCACAACCCUAAUGAUUGAAGAUCUUUCAUCAUUCUUUCUGAUCACCAUGUUCCUACUUCCUCAAACCUAUAACAUUCUACUUUAUACUAAUCUCACCUUGCUCUUUCUUGUACUAUCAAACUUAACCAACCAGUUCUUGUGGUCUUUCAUAUGAUUUGAAAAACAUGUAUCUAGGAACCAUGAUCUUUCUUUAUGUUGAUCUUCUGACACUACAACCAUGAAUACUACAAAUUCAUCAUCUAAAUCAUCUUGAACUAUUUUAGCUUCAUGAUCAUCAAUAUAUUAAACCUUCUGAUUUCUUUUAUUGUACCAUCAAUCUGAGGCAUAAUGACCCCAUCUUUCAUAUUUUUAGCAUCAAAUAUGCUUCUUGUCCUUGCUUCGGGUCUUUUGUUGGUUGAAUUUUGAUGUAUGUCCUCUUUUCUUGAAAGAUCCGGGUUUAUCAUCAAACCUAGUAUUUUGAGAGCUUGAACUUGUAUAUUUCUUGAGUUUCUCUUGAAUCUUUCUAUUUUUGUGCAUUUCAAAGCCACCAUUCUUCUUGAAAGUUCAAGCUUAAAGAGCUUGACCUGACUCUUGCACUAUCUUUCUUUCGAUUCUCAACUCAUGUGCUUCUAGAGACCCUAUAAAAAAUUACAUCCUCAUAAUUGCUAAUAUGUCAGAUUCUUGUAUAGCAUAUCACAUAGUCCAAAUGACUAUGAGAAGUGAGUGUCCUUAUCACCUUUUCAAUCAUCAUUUUCUUUGUCAUCACUUCACAACAAUUUUUCAUCGUGUGAACCAAACCUUGAAUCUUUGAUACAUAGGCGGUAACUUUUUCAUUCUUCUCCAUUUGUAAGAAGUCAUGAUAUAUUCUUAGAGAUUUCGAACUUAACACUUUUCACUUUGUCACACCUUCACAAUAUUUGAUCAAGAUGUCUCAUGGCUCCUUUGCAUUCUAAUCAUGAAAAAAUUUAUCAAAAUUUCCAGCACCUACUAAUACUUAUAGAAUUGUAAUCUUUCUUCUUCUCUUUCUUAUAAAUAUUUUUUUGUGCUUAAGUUGCAUUUGCCUAUGUUCUUGAACUCCAUUUGAAACUAUUUCGAAUGUCUUUUGAUAGCCAAAUAAAACAUUCAUUUGUUUGUGUGUGUUUUGAUAGCCAAACAAAGCAUUCAUUUGUUUGUGUUAUCUCCCUCAAUUGUUAUCAUCAAGGAAUGGAAAUGUCUUUGGAAUGCCAUUAUCAUGUUAUCAUCUUUACGUAGUUUAUAAAACUCAAAUCCCAACAAAUUUUAGUCAAAGCUAUGUUUUCACCAAGACAAAUGAGUAGGUGAAAGGGUACAUAAUUAGGAAAAGUAAAGUGGAAAACAACAAAGCAUUAUUUUCUAUAGCCAAAAUAUUUGCAAUUUGCAUAUAUAUAUAUAUUUUAUUCAUUACGAAUUUACUGUGGAAUACAUGAACUAGUAGUUAGUUUUGAAUCUUUCAAAUGGAAAAUUUAAUCCAUCAAUUAUAAAUAUAAAUUUACCAAUGUGACAGAAUUUCACGUCUUUUUUUUUCUUCAUAUUAUUAUAAGAUCUGUACAAUCUUGUACUUGUACCAAAUCUCCAUUAGUCACGUUGAAAAUAAUACAUAUUUUGCAUAUAUUAUUAUUGAUCGUGUCGGUGUGUUAAAAAUGUUAUCAUGAAACAACUUGUCCUUGCAAAUUCAAACUUCGCAGCAUAAGAAAACAAAAUGGUAGGUAACAAAAACUAUUGACUUUUGAUACAAGAGAUUGCCAAGUCAUUACCGAUAAGAUUGAGACAUGCAGCUGUGAGUGGAAUCAGUAAGACCAUGAGUAGUAUAUAAGCAAGUAGUGACUCUUGUGUUUCAUGCACCAAACUCAAAAGUCACUAACAUGGCUUCCUUAAGCUUCUUAGUGUUGCUUCUUCUCGCUCUUAUCAUUCCACAGGGGUUUGCCAACUAUGAGAAACCUCCCGUCUAUCAACCACCAGUGUACAAUCCACCAAUCGAGAAGCCUCCAGUUUAUAAGCCACCAGUGUACAAGCCACCAGUUGAACACCCGCCAAUUUACAAGCCACCAGUUGAGAAACCACCUGUGUACAAGCCACCUGUGUACAAGCCUCCAGUCUACAAGCCACCUGUAGAGAAACCACCAGUUUAUCAGCCACCAGUUGAAAAGCCUCCGGUUUAUAAGCCACCUGUCUACAAACCACCCGUCGAGAAGCCUCCAGUUUAUAAGCCACCUGUCUACAAACCGCCCGUCGAGAAGCCUCCAGUUUACAAGCCUCCAGUUUAUAAGCCACCUGUCUACAAACCACCCGUCGAGAAGCCUCCAGUUUACAAGCCACCUGUGUAUAAGCCACCUGUCGAAAAGCCUCCGGUGUAUGAGCCACCAGUAGAGAAACCUCCGGUCUACAAGCCACCAGUUUAUAAACACCCUAUCUAUAAGCCACAUGUAGAAACACCUCCGGUUUAUAAGCCACCAGUUAGGGCGCCACCAUAUUACACACCUCCAUACUAGAAACCACCUCUCAAUCCAAGUACUUGUGUCUAGAAAAUACUAUUAAGAAUAUAUGUUAAAUAAGAGAGAGAUGUAAAGUUUAUAAAGCAAGGAAUAUAGAUAUUCUUGUAAUCUUCAUUUCAAUCCUUUGUUUACAAUGCUAUUGCCAAGACAAGAAUGUGAAGUGUAAAACGGAGAAAGAAAGUUGUGCUUUUGUUCUCCAUAUUAUGAAUAAGAAUAUUGUGUUUAGAUGUUGUGUUGUUAUUCUUUAACUAAAGACUAAAUUAUCAUUUUGAUUCUUAAAAUUUUUCUGCUGGACAAAUACAUUUUACUGAACUAGCAGGGAAAAAAAAUAAGCAAGCACUCCUACCUAUUACAAAGUUUGCUAUAGCAGAAACAAAUGAAACGCUAGAAACAUAACUUUGAAACAGCACCAAAACACCCGGUAAAAUAUAUGCAGAUAACAAUGAAUAAAGAGCAAGUCCGACGUAUCAAUAAUUUGGGCCACAUAUCCAUGCAUCAGGUCGAAUAGUGUGGACGUGAGCAAAUCUAAGUAUCACAUUGGUUAAAAGAUAGAGGUUAUAAAAGAUUUAUAUAGAGUAACACCCUUCAGUCUUCACCAUACAGAUCGGUUUUGUAUGGAUGAAUUUUAGAAAGUACUAGUACUUUGCAAGAGGAUCAUCUAGUUAGUCUUGUGAUUCCACAAGUGUAAGCUUAAUAUAACCGGUUUGAACAUAAUCACUUAUAAAAUGACAGUCUAUGUCAAUAUAUUUCGAUGUUGCGUGACUUUUUGGAUUUAUGGUCAAAUUAAUUGCAAAGACUUUAUCACAUAAAACCAUGGAAGUGUUAGAAAGAUACGUCAAAAGUUCUCAAGAGCUAUUUAAGACGAAUGAGUUUUAUAGUCACAAUAGCUUAUUCUGCUUCUGCAGACUGAAUUUUGCUUCCAAUAUCUCCAUGCAAGAAGCACAUUAUCCAAGAAAAUAGAAAAAAACAGAGGUGGAUUUUCGAGACACCUGAAAACUUCCCCAAUUUGCAUCAACAUAUGAUGUAGUGACAACCUUUUUAUGUGUGUUGGGAAUAGGAUCCCAGAUUCAUGGAGUGUCCUUCAGAUUCUACAAUAAAUGGUGAACAUAUUGCAGAUGAGGAAUGCGAGGGGAAGUCAUGAAUUAACUGAGUUUGUUCAGUGAAAAAGUGAUGCGAGAUCUUGAUAUCGUCAAAUACUUCAGUCUUCUAGUGAAUUUUCUGUUUAAAGAGAAACUACAGAUCUUGCUAUUGUCAACUACAUCACUCAAUCAAUCAAUCUUCUAUAUAAAGAGGGUUUAGGAAGUAGCUUACCUAUAUUGUUAUUUUUAAAUGAAUGUUUGGUUUUAUAGGCCCACUCAUUUUCUUAGCCUCAUUAAUUUAUUGACGCAAUCGAAAUCACAUACGAUUAGCAAGCCAUAAAUCUAGAAUAAAAAUAAAGGAUUGUAAAUGCAAAACGUCUAUGAUAAACUUUGGAAUCCACCGGAUAAAGAAAAUCCUGAAUUUUAUUAUAUCAAAAGAUGAUAUUUGACUCAUGCAAAAAAAUGUUUAAAUACAUAAGCAAAGAAACCAUAAUAGACUUUAAAUACAAAACAAAAACAAAAUAGAAAAAAAAAACUCUAAUGGACUUUUAAUUAGGGGUGGCAAUUGGAUCCAUUAAAACAAAAUCCAUCCAAUCCAUCCAUCAAAAAGUUCAUCCAAUCCAUCCACUACAUAAAAAUUAAGUUAAUGGAUUGAUCAAAUUCAUCCAUUUAUAAACAUGGAUUGAUCCAAUCCAUCCAACGCAUUUUAGUGAUCCAAUGGAUUUUUUUAUUUAAUUUUAAAAAAAUAAAUUUUUUCAAAUAUUAAAAAAUAAAUUUGAAAAACAAAAAAUAAAAUUUUUUUCGAAAAAAAAUCAAUUUUUUUUGAAAAAUAAAAAAAUAUAUUUUUUUUUUGAAAAUACAAAAAAUGAUUUUUUCCAAAAAUUUAAAAAUCAUUUUUUUUGACAAAUACCAAAAUUUGAUUUUAUUUUUGAAAAUUUUAUUUUUUUACGAAUAUAAAAAAAUUAUUUUUUUCGAAAAUAAAAAAAAAUGAUUUUAAAAUUAUUUUUUUCGAAAAUACAAAUUUUUUUUUUUUAAAAAAAAAAAUUUCGAAAAAAAAUUGAUAUUGUUUUAUUAAAAAUAAAUAAAAAACUUUUUGAAAAAAAUAAAUUUUUCAAAAAAAUAAGUGAUUUUUAAAUAAAAAAAUGGAUGGAUGGAUUGGAUUGGAUAUUUUUAAAAAACUUUUAGUGGAUUGUUAAUGGACUAAUGGAUUGUUUAAAUCCAUCAAUUAACUAUCCAAUCCAUAUCCAUCCAAUCCAUCCAUUUUGCCACCCCUACUUUUAAUCCAAAACAAAAAUAAAAUAGAAAAUUGCAGAAAAUAUUAAAAUGUUGUUUUUGGACCUGAAACAAAUUCAGAUGACUUAAAAAGUCUUCCUACAUCAGUCUCAUCCAUCUCUGAAUAACUCAACCCCGAGUUUUCUUCUUGAUAAAUAGUCUCAUCUGCUUGAUAUUCAUGAAUGUCAACAACAUUGAAAGUAUUUGAUAUAUUCAUGAAAUCCGGAAGAACUACUACAUAAGCCAUUAUCAUUGAUCUUUCGGGUAAGUAUGAACGAGCCAUACUUAUGUGGCUGGAGCUUAUUGUAAGUACAACCUGGAACCCCCCCCCCUACGCAGAAACACCAUAACAUCGUCUCCCAUAUUAAAAGAUUUAACUUUUCAGAGUUUAUCUUUCAUAGGAGGCAAAUCGUUUGGGAGCUCAUCUACAGUCAAUUCCUUGAAAUUCUCUAGGAUUUCUAGUGCUUCUUCUGGAAUUGUUGUUUCUUCCUUUACAACACUCAUCAAGCCUUUACUCGCCACUUGAUAGAAAAACUUAGUUUCUUUAGAUCUCUUUUUCACUUUGUGUCAUCACCAAGAAACUAGACUGCUUUCCUCUUGGAGUCUUAUCAAAGUGAAAAACAGUAGCCAUAACAAUUUUAUGUAUUCCCCAUGUAAACAUCAUCACGUUAUCCUGUCCUCGAUAAGUUAUAUCAUUAUAAACUAGCAGGGUAUAACAAGUAAAAUAUGACAAACAUUCAUAUCAAGAACAUCACAAAGUACCCCUUCUCUGUAAUGUUUUACGAUGGAGAUAUGAACUAUGCAGCCUAGUGUUACUCGAACUUGGGAGCCUUUGCUUACCCAACCGAGGGUGUAUAGCUUCUCAUGGGGUUUAAUGGACAAGUUCAAAUAAUCUACCAAUUUCUGGGACACCAGAUUCUCUAUGUUGCCACUAUCCACAAUCAGAUUACACACCUUGUUAUUUAUAAAAUAGUGUGUUUUAAACGAAUUCUUGCAUUGCUCCUCAUUUUUUAUGCUAGUAGAAUUCUAUGUAACAUAAAAUUUACCCUCUCAUCAUAUUCUUCCUCUGCAAACUUAACACAUGCAUAUUCAUCAUUCACAACUGCAUGUACUUCUAUUUCCUCUUCCUCUACCUCUUCCCUUUCUUCUGCAGCAACAAUGACUCUCCUUGUUGGACAAACAUUUGAUCUGUGACCUCUUCCAUUACAACGAUAACACAUGUCCCUAGUGAGUUUAGCAUAUGGAUUAUUUUUCCUCUGGACUGGUGCUUUACCCUGCUACAUAUCGAUAGGGUUGCUAGCCCCCUUAUUUCAAGGUUGGAAUCCCUGGUUGUUGCACUCUUUUCCUUGUCAGAUACUGAUUCAAAGUUAUUUUGGGGAGAAUACAUAAAAGAUGAGAAAUUUCGAGGGAAUUUAUCUAUUAGUUCUGCCUUUAAAUCUAGAUUGGAUACCUCAGUUACAGUUUAUACAGUCUGUAAAUCCAUCUUCUUAUGCAAGGAUCUCUUUAGAGCACUGGUGUAUCGAGCCACUUUCUGGCUCUCUUAUUCUCCUAAUUCACUGCGCUCAGAAAAACGCUGGAACUCAGAUGUGUAUUCAGUUGCAAUUAUCUUGCCCUGAACACAGUCAAUAUACAUCUUAUAAAGAAUUUGUUCAUAAUCCUCCGGUAAAAACCGCUUCAACAUAAAUUAUUUCAUUCUUCGCCAAGAUCUGAUUGGUGUCUUCCUUUGCCUUUGCAUCUGAACAACAAGUUUAUCCCACCAAACAACAAUACUCUUCAGCCUAAUCGCCACCAUCUUAACUUGCUUGUUCUUAGGUACACUCAUAACAUCGAAGAACCUGUCAACUUUGAUUUUCCAAUCCAUAAACUCCUUCAUUCCCAUCGUUCCAUAGAAUAAUGGAAUAUUAGCAUUCACUCGAUAAUCAUGGUUAUGUCGACUCUCAUGAUUUACUACCUCUUCAUCAUAGGGUUCUUCUUCUUCAGAACUCGAAUUUUUAGCAAUAACAACACGAUGACUGUUGACAUCCCGUGAAGCCCUAAAAUGUUCUCCACCUCUGUCUAUUUGCUGAUUCCCGUUGUUGUUAGUAUUGUUCACCUUAUUUUCUAGAUUCAUCAUCUAUUCAUUCAAAGCACUUAGAGCCAUAGUAAAAGUUGUGGUAAUUACCUCAAGAUUUUCUCUGGUUACCGGUUGGUCUCUCAUGGUUGAUCAAGUUACAAAAAGAAAUAAGGGAAAAACAUGCUCUGUUGCCGCCUGUCGCAGUCGGAAUCACAAAGGAUUAGCAAGCGCUAAUCCUAAAAUGAGUACACAGGAUUGCAAGCGCAAAACCUGUCACAUACACUCUAGAAGCCACUAGAUAAAGAAAGUAUUGAAUUUUAUUAUAUCCAAAGUGUUCAUUGACUCACAAAAAGUAUUUAAAUAUAUAAGUAAAGAAACCCUAACGGGCUUUUAAUCCAAAACAAACAUAAUUAAAAUGGUUAAAAAAGCCCUAAUGGACUCUUAAUCUAAAACAUAAAUAAAAUAAAGUAAAAUAUGUAAAAUAUUAAAAUAUUGUUUUGGGGCCUGAAACAAACUCGGAUGGCUUAAAAAGCCUUCCUAUAUCACUUGUAUCCUCAAAAAGUUGAAAGUCAUACUUCCUUUGGCAUAAGUAGGUAUCUUUAAUGUACUUAGUUAUUUCAAGUCCUAAGUAAUACUUCAAUUAUCCAAUAGCUUUUAACUUGAAAUGGAGUGCCAACAUGAUUUGAAUUGACCUAAUGAGGACAUUAUUUUGACUAUAAAUUACUAGGUCAUUGACAUGAACCAAUAAAAAAAUUAGACCAUCUCCGUAUCAUCUAGUGAACAAGUAAUUGUUAGCUAAUAAUGUAGAUGAAAGUUUUUGAAUUAAUUACCUAUAUGCUUAUCUUAAACCAUAUAGGUACUUUUACAUAUAUCAUUCACCAUGCUCACCAUUUUUAGGAUGCCCCAAAAGAAAAUCCAUGUAUUUUCUUCUGCACAUUGUAUUUUGCUUCCUAUAUCUCCAUGCAAGAAGAUCAUUGCCCAAGAAAAUAGAAAAAAUAGAGGUGGAAUUUCAAGACACCUGAAAACUUCCCCAAUUUGCAUCAAUAUAUGUUGUGACAACCUUUUUAUGUGUGUUGGGAAAUAGGAUCCCAAAUUUAUGGAGUGUCCUUCGGAUUCUACAAUAAAUGGUGCACAUAUUGCAGAUGAGGAAUACGAGGGGAAGUCAUGAAUUGACUGAGUUUGUUCAUUAAAAAAGUGACACGAGAUCUUGAAAUCUUCAAAUACACCAGUCUUCUAGUGAAUCUUCUGUAUAAAGAGAGACGACGGGUCUUGAUAUUGCCAACUGCAUCACCCUGUGAAUCAAUCUUCUAUAUAAAAAGGGUUUAGGAAAUAACUUACCUAUAUUAUUAUCUAAAUAAAUGUUUGGUUUCAGAGGCCCACUCAUGUGCUUAUCCCCCAAAAACUUGUUGACGCAUUCGAAAUCACAAAGGAUUAACAAGCGAUAAACCUAGAAUAAGAACACAGAAUUGCAAGUGCAAAACCUUUAUGAUAAACUUUGAAAUGCGUCAGAUAAAGAAAACAUUAAAUUUUAUUAUAGCAAAAGAUUAUAUUUGACUCACGCAAAAAGUUUUUAAAUACAUAAGCAAAGAAACCAUAAUGGAUUUUUAAUCCAAAACAUAAAGAAAAUAGAAAAAAAAAAUCAAUGGACUUUUAAUCCAAAACAAAAAAAAAAGAAAAUUGCAGAAACUAUUAAAAUGUUAUUUUCGAGGCUGAAUCAAACUUAGAUGAGUUAAAAAGUCUUCCUACAUUAGUCUCCUCCACCUCUGAAUAACUCGAUCUCGAGUGCUCUUCUUGAUAAAUAGUCUCAUUUGCUUGAUAUUCAUGAAUGCCAGCAACAUUGAAAGUAUUUGAUAUAUUCACGAAAUCUGGGAGAACUACCACAUAAGCAUUAUCAUUGAUCUUUCGGGUCAUUGUGAAAGGGACAUACUUAUGUGGUUGCAGCUUGUUGUAAAUACCAACUGAAAACACCACUAGAAAAUAUAGCUUCGGUGACAUAAUGUUUGGAAGCGGAUACAAAUCUUUGGGAUAUCUGGUUAUUACUAAAGUAAGUAUCCAUGAAAUAAAAAAGUUUUUACCCAAUUAAACUAUCCACCAACUUGUUUAUGUUUUGAAGCAGAUAUGAAUCUUUAGGGCAUUCCCGGUUGAGAUUGAUGUAAUCAACAUACAUUCUUCACUCUCAUGAGACCUUUUUGACCAAUAUAAAAUUAGAGAGUCUUUGUGUGUAUCUUACUUCAAAGAUAAAGUUAGCAUUUAGCAAGCCCUGGAUUGUCUUCAUGGUUGCAUCAACAUUUUCGUCUUCUUCUAUGGAUCACAUAGCAGGCGGAAGGAUCGACAUUCAACUAAUGGUAUGAUAUGCACAUGUCUAUGCUUGGCAUCUAACUAUGAGAGAUUGGUAAAGGUUGAUGUUGGAUCUAAGGCAUUCAACAAGUCCCAUUUUCACCAAGCUUGGCAGAUCAACACCUACAUAAACAGACUGUGUUAGGUUAUCAUAAAGUUAGACGAUCUCAAACUUGCCAUCCAGAAAUGGCCUUAAGGUCUUCGUAUUGACCCUGUUGACGAACUGAAUUGAUCAUCCCGUAGGAUUUUGUUGUCUUGUAUGUAAAUGUAGAUCAUGCCAAUUGCUUCUCAAUCCUUCUUUUUUCCCUCUCAAAAGUGAUGGCGGACAUGAUGGGGUUCUUUAACACUGUUUCGUGUAUUAAGUGAGCUCCACGUAAGUUGGUUGCAAUAACGACCAACUCACCUGAACUAUUGUGAUAUUCCAUCUUCAAAUGAACCAUAGAGGCCACUUCGUUUAAUGCCGCCAGAAAUGACCUUCCUAGGAGGCCGUUGUAGAUGUUUUUGUAAGGGAUGACGAGGAAACAUACUUUUAGGAUUCUCUUGUUUUUACCUUCUCCAAACGAGACUGGUAGGUCUAUAGCUCCACAUGGACGAGUUGAGGAGUCAUUGAAUGCUAGAAGGGUCCCACCUUCGCAAGGCUUCAAGUCUUUCACGUGCAGUAUUAAUCUCAUGAAGACUCUGAGGUACAUCAUGUUGCAUGAGCAUUUUUUUGUCAAAUAGGAUCCUCGAUUUUGAGAGGUUGUCUAUGAUGGCGGUUACAACCAAUGGAAAUGUUGCAUUAGGAGUUCCAUUCACCUCCUCGUGGUGUCAAAACCUUAGAAUAUGUCUAUCUUUUUUUUUUUACCACUGGUCUUAGUGAACUUUGUGUUGGAGUACCUCUCUUUCUAGAAUAUUUGAUGCCAAUUGAGUCAACAACGAAGAUAGGAGACGAUUUACUAGAGGAGCUAUGGAGUUUUUGUCGGCUAGAUGAGAAGUCAUUUACUCCGUUUGAGUGUAAUUGUUGUGUGAUUCAUGAUUUUGAAUCAAAAGAGAUUUUAGAAAUUUUCUAGAAUCAAAAAUUGAUUUACGAUGUUCUGCUAGAGUUAGAAAUGCUUGGUGAAAUAUAAACAAAACAAUUGCCUAAUCUAUUCGAAUUUAAUCUAAAAGUGGGUUUGUGUUAUGGAAAGGGCAAGUCACUAGAGUAUAAAGCGAAGACUGAGACCGCACAAAGAGGAGAGUAAACUUAGAAGUGCAUGCAGGAAGUCAAUAUGUUGAGAAUUGUUGUUUGCAAUCAAAGGAGUGGGUGAAAGGGUAUAUAAUAAUUAGGAUAAAGUAAAGUGAAAAACAAUAAAGCAUUAUUUGUGCAGGCAAAAUAUAUUGCAUCUAUAGCUCAUCAAUAAUGAAAUGUGUAAACUCGACUUGGUGAAACUAAAAUCCAACGUUGCCAGUAGAAAAGAAUUACUAUGGAUACAUCAAUUAUUUGGUUGAAUAUUUAAAAUGGAGAAUUAACUAUAAUAAAAAUAAAUAAAUUUAGCAAUGUACGUGACCAUAUUUCACGUCUCUAUUAGUAUUUUUCAUCUAUUUUUAGACAAUCUUGUACUAGAUCUUUGUUAGAUGAAAAUAGUCUCUUUGAAAGGACACAUUUUUGGAAUAUGUAAUCACUGACUGUGUCGGUAACUUGGUGUAUUGAAAAAUUAUGCAACUUGUCCAUUCCAAUUCACACAAUUUCAAACUUCGCCGCCAUAUGAUAAGAAAAUCAUUGGUAACAAUGUUGAAAAUUCAUAAAAAAUAUUGACUUUUGGUAAAUAAAGUGCCACAUCAUACUGAUUAAAAUUUGAAACAUGCACCUAUGAUUCGUAUAAAAGCAAGUAGUGACUCUUGUGUUUCAUGCACCAAACACACUAACAUGGCUUCCAUAACCUUCCUACUGUUACUCCUUGCUCUUAUCAUUCCUCAAGGGUUUGCCAACUAUCAGAAACCUCCAGUUUAUCGACCACCGGUGGAAACACCUCCCAUCUACAAGCCACCAGUUGAGAAGCCUCCAGUUUACAAACCACCCGUUUAUAAGCCACCGGUAGAGAAGCCUCCUGUCUACAAAGCCUGUUCCGGUUGAGAAAGCUCCAGUUUACAAACCACCAGUAGAGAAACCUCCCGUUUACAAGCCACCGGUAGAGAAGCCUCCAGUCUAACAAGCCUCCCGUUGAAAAGCCUCCAACCUACAAACCACCCGUAGAGAAGCCUCCAGUCUACAAGCCACCAGUUGAGAAACCUCCGACCUACAAACCACCGGUAGAGAAACCUCCAGUAUACAAGCCACCAGUUAGAAACCUCCGGUUUUAAGCCACCGGUAGAGAAACUCCAGUAUACAAGCCACCAGUUGAGAAACCUCCGGUUUAUAAGCCACCGGUUGGAUAUCAGCCACCAGUUUACACGCCUCCAUUCUAGAAGCCACCAAACCAACCAAGUACCCUAUGAUGGUACUUGUGUCUAGAAAUGCUAUUAAGGAAGUAUGCUAAAUAGAAUAUAUAUUCUUGAAUCUUCAUUUCAAUGCUUUGUUUACAAUUGUAUUGCGAAAACAAGAUUGUGAGUGUAAAACUGAGAAAGAAAAUUCUGCUUUUGUUCUCCAUAUUAUAAAUAAAAGCAUUAUGAUUUAAAUGUUGUUUUAAGUUGUCAGUACUAAUCAACAUAAAGAAAUAAUCUAAAUAAUUUCUUGUCAUACUAGUAAGGUGCAUGAAAACUGUCUUCAGAGACAAAUAUAUGUGAGAAGACAAAUUUGAAAGAAAAAAAAGGGUAUAGCUUAAGAAUCUCGAGGACUAAUUUGUUAGAAGUAAUUCAUAUUCAAAAGCAAUGUUCUAACGCAAAAGUAGAAAUUUCUGAGAUUGCUAUUCCAUAAGCGAUAUUUAACUUCUAAGUUGUAGUUGAUUUUUGGUUUUCAGAAGAUCCACUGCUUAGCUAGUGUAGAUUAACAUUUUUGUCAACGUUGCAUUUCUGUUUGUUUAUAUAAACCACAAGUGUAACAAGAUUUCAGUGUGAACACAAUCAAUAGAGUUUCUCUUAAAAGUUAGUUAGAUAUAUUCUCUCUCUCUCUCAAUCUUUAUCAUCUUCAUCUUUAUCAUUUUCAUCUUCAACCUUGUGCACCAACAAUUGGUAUCUAGAGUUUCAAUAUGAUUCACAUGGAAACACGAGUGUACCGUGAGGCGUUGUUAUUGAUUUCGUUUAUUGAAUUCGCGUUUAAUUCAUAAUCGAAAUCGUAACAAAAUCACAUUUCUUGAUUUUGCGGGAUUAGGAAACACAAUUGUUUGGUGAAAUCUGUGUAAGUUUCAGUGCACACAAUCGAAGAUGAAGGGCAGAAACGGUAGCUAGAUUACAAAGCUUCCAGUGUUUGAUGGAAAGAAUUAGAACUGGUGGUCAAUUCAGAUGCGUGUGUUGUUUGGCGUUCAAGACGUUCUUGAUCUCGUCAACGACGAUUAUGUUCCGGCUACGGCGGAUGCGACAGAAACACAGAGAAACACACAAAGAAAAACAAAGAAGAAUGAUCAAAAAACGUUGUUCUACAUCCAUCAAUGUUUGAAUGUAAACAUGUUUGAGAAAAUUGUUGAUUCGACGAGGAGAAGGCUGCGUGGGCCACACUAGUACGGUGUUAUUGCAGUUAUGCAUCAAUUAAGAAGGUGGAGCUUCGGUCUCUACGUAAGUGUUAGUUGAGAUUUUUGACUAGGGCAAGAAUCUCAACAAAGGGUAAAGAUAAAGGUACAGUGAUGAUGUGUAUCUAAGAGGAGUCUUGGGUUGAAGAGUUUCGACAACAUCGGGAGCGUCGAAGAAGCGGUUAUUUUGGCGCGCAUAUGUUACAUUCAAAUAUGAAUAACUACCCGGUGGUUUCUUUCUGAAGGACACAUGGAUAGAGAACAUAGGCAAGUAGGGGUGUUCAUGGUUUGGAUUUAUUAAUAUUCAAUCCAUAUCCACAUAAGAACCAGUAAAAGGGUUUGGAUGUAAAACCAAAUUGUUAAAACUUGUUAUAAACACUACGCCAAAUAAGGGAAAAGAGGGCGCUUUUUUUGGCCUAUAACAGCGCUUUAAAGCGCCCUCUAAUCUGGCGCUGGCAUAGGUAAAGACAGCGCUUUUUUUCCUGGUGAAAGCGCUCUCUACAGUGGCUCAUUAAGCCUUAGGGCCACUUUAGAGGGCGUUUUUAAAGAAAGCGCUCUAAAGUGGAAAACUUUUAAGGGUUUAGGGGGCGCUUUUAUUGGAAAGCGUCCUCUAAAGUGGAAACUUUUAAGGGUUUAGAGGACGCUUUUACUGGAAAGCGUCUUCUAAAGUGGAAUUUAAGGGUUUAGAGGCGCUUUAUUUUGGAAGGCCUCUAAAGUGGGUGUUAUUUUAAAUUUUUUUUAAAAGCGCUAUAUUUAUUUAUUUAUUUUAGACAACUGUAUAUUGAAGCAGUACACUAAAACUGUAUAAUUUGAAGCCUUUUUCACACAUUGCAUUCACAAGCUAAUAAUACAAUCCAUACAUAUACAACAAUCCCUGAUAUAUAAUCGUUUAACUUCUAAAGAUUCUAAAUAUACAACUAUUCAUAACUUAAAAGAAUAAAACUAAGUAGCAAAGCUCUCUGAGAUGUAUGUUUUUUUGGCUAGCCGCAGUCUCUUAGUAAAAACCUCUUUUUGUUCAAUAUCAAUAGCAUGAACUAAAAUAUCAUAAAAUUAGUUAGGUGAAGUAUAAGAUCAAGAUUAAUUUUCUAUGCAUAAAUUCAUAUAAUUGUGUUUUAUACUUUUUUUUUUAUGCAACUGACUCGAUUUGCUGUAAUAAAAGCCAUUUUACCUGUAAUAAAGAAAACAAUUAAAAUCAUUUGACUGUAGCUUUUUUCACUAAGUUCUCUUUCUUUUGGUUGGAUAUGUAUAACAUCAACAUCAAAUACAUUUUUUUCAAUAUGCAUAACAUCAAGAAAAUGUCUCACAUACAAGGACUUCAAUACGGCAAUUAAAAAAAAACCGACCUCUUCUUCCACCCACUUUUGACAAGUGUGUGGGCAAAAGGCUUGCCAAACUGAGUAUCCAAAUCUUUCACUUUUCAAAAAUUUGAUCACCCGUCAAUAUAGGUGGAGCUCUGCCUUGUUCUGUCUCCAUUGACGUUUUCAUCCACGGUAGUGAUGAUUUGAAUUUAAGAAUUCCGAUGACGAAAAGACAUUCUUCUGACAAACUCAAGCGCUUCCAAUCUGUUUAUAUUUCACAAAUAGGACACGCACAUUGACCUUUAUCUAUAGCCUAAUAGAUUUCCGUAUGCUGGAAAUCAUUAAUUGUGCCAAACAACAUCGCCCUAGUUGAAACUUUUUCCUAUAUCUAUCAUAAACUCCGUCUCCCAAAAUCUUAAAUCUUCGAUUAAGGGUUCAAGUAACGUCAUAUGUCAUUCCCUGGUUGUUUAGGUCCAGAAAUAACAUAGACAAUCAUGUACUUACGCUUCUAAUAGCAUGGAGGUAGGUAUAAAUCAUAAUAAUCACAGGCAUGUACUGUGUGAGAUACUUGGAUCCGUGUGGGUUCAUUCCAUAGUAUAAUAGCCAAGCGAAGGUUUCUGAUUCUUCUCAAAUUCGGAUAAUAUUAUCAAUUUCACCAUUGGUUGGUGAAUUACGGAUGUACGAUCUUUCCAUCAUAUAAUUCUUUUCAUCUGCAUGCCAGGUCAAGUGUCUGAAUCGUUUCAUACGAACUAGCGUCUAAAUCUCGGAAUAACAGAAAAUCACAGAUUUUGCUGGAGACAACUUGUUCUUAUAUGGCGAGACACCGCAUUUAGGACACUCAUUUAACGAUGCAUACUCAUUCGAAACAAAACGCAAUCGUUUGACAUGAUGUAUCUUAUCAUGCUCAGCAAUAGAGCACACAUCUUUUUGGUCUCAUAUGUUCGAUUGGAAGAACAUUAUCCUAGGAAGCAUAUCUUUCAAAGGGCUAAUAAUCUGUGAAACUUUUAUCCGACUCCAUUGCCCGCUUAAGUUGUAAACUUUAUACGCAGACUCUUGUGAAUUUAGUGAACCAUCAUCAAGGUUUUUGCAUCAUUACAACCUUCAAAACAUUUGGGACAUCCUUAGAUCUCUUCAGUGCUUCUGCAAUCUUUCAACUCGAUCACAAUCGUAUGUAUCUGCCGCACUAUAGUUUUGAGGCAUAGGUCGUUACUUCACCGGUUCAACAUUCUCGUUACUUUUCUCACCAUGCAAAUUCCACAUGUAUAACUUCGAUCAAUUCAUGCCUCAUUAGAUGCGAUGUCAACUGAAUGCGUCAACCCGUUUCCCAUAAAACCAAGAAGGACUAUAAUUCUACUGGGGUCUUCGGCGUGCGCAACGGCACUUAACGAAUUCUGAUACCUUUCGUAUCUUUCGUAUAAUCGUUGGAAGACAUUGCCAUUAUUAUCAUUACUAAUUAGAAUAUAACAAAAACAAUUUCCAGAAGAGAAAAAUGGGAUGAGAAAAAAUUUCGCUUUAUUGAGUUGUCUUUUGCAGGGCAUUCAUGUCUCAACACACCCAAAACAAAACAUUUGGUUUAUUGAGUUAGUUCUCACAUUUUGAUAUCUCUGACUUCAAUAGAUGAGAAUGUAUGAACAUGCAUUAAGCAUUAGUGGUAUGCACUAAAUUUGUAGCAUAGUUUAUAUAUAUCAUAUAGUUUUAGAAGAUACAUUGACUAGAAAUAUAUAUGUAGAAUUGUAUAAUGGCUAACUGAAAGGUAACAGAAGAGAGUCGCUCUAAUUUACUUACAAAUAACAUCCAUACCUAAACUUUUAGUUACUAGCUACGCUAUUAUGCUGAAUAAUACCUAUAAGCUGAUAGUGUACCUUUGUUGGUAGAGGUGUUUUAGAUAUUGCUGCUCUUUUUCUACAUCGAGAAACAAAUGAACAGUUGGUGAAAUUUAACCAUGAUGCUCGUCUCUCUUGCUGCAUUGAACACCAUAAUUAUUGUUGAGAAUAUCAAUAAAUGUAUGACCAAGAAAUAAGAAACCAAAAAAUAACCAAUUAAGCGAACGUCAAAAGAGAACCAAGUAUUAUGAAGAUUAAGAAAAUACUAUGGUGUCAAAAUCGAACAGCUAAAACGAAUUAAUAGAAGGAGGAACGUCGUAGAUCUAACAGAGGUGGAAGGAGAACGCUUAGAAGUAGCGAAAGUUGUAGCAGUGAGACCUAACGUGAAAAGAGAAAAUAACAGAGAGUGAAAUAACAAAGCGCAGUAUGUUAUAAUUUUAAUGUUUACUAAAGGGGACUUAGAGGGCGUUGUGGAAAAAGCCCUCUAAGGGGCUAAGAGGGGCUUAUGAAAGCGCUCUCUAAGACUUUCCAAAAGCCGCUUUUAUGAAUUGGAAAUGCACAUGGACUUAUAGAGCGUUUUUAAAGCGCUCUAAGGUAACCUUGAGGGCGUUUCUAAAAGCGCCCUGUCUUGUUGUCUCUAUCUCUACUUAUUUUUCGCUUCACUUAGAGGGCGCUUUAUUACAAAAGCGUCCUCUAAAGUGCGCUGUUUUAGUUUGUUCCGCUCUUUUUUUUUCGCUUCACUUUAGAGUGCGCUUUUGUAAUAAAGCGUCCUCUAAGGUGCGCUGUCUAUUCCAGUUUUUGGCGUAGUGAAAAAAAUAAAGUAGUUUUAAAAUCGGUUAAAAUAUCAAAAUCCAAUUAUCAUUACUAAGAACUUCUGAACCUAUUUACAAAGAAUAAUAGAAGAGGAAAAAAAACAAAAAUUAUCAAAGUAAACACAAUGCCACUUGAAGAACAUGUCAUCGUCAUCGUGGAAAGAAGUUCAAUCAUCAUCGUUAUAUGUAAAUGUUCAAUCAACGUGGUCUUUGUUUGUUGUAGUGUGUGUAAAUUUGAUCUAGAACUACAAUCUACCUCCACUAAGCGUAGAAAUUUCUGCCACCGCCAUGAAUAUAGGUUCUUUCAACGUGCCAUCGUAAGCCUAAAUCUAAAAUUGCGGUCUAAAAUUGUCGGUGUUUCCAUAUUCGAACCACUAUGCCAAACUUGUUUUGCUACUUCCCAUUGGGGUUGUUUCUAAUUUCUCCUUCGGAGCAACAUCCAUCGGAGUUAGUCAUCCUUUCCUUCGAGAUAUGGCUGAACAUGGUUUGUAACUAAUGUUUUAGUCCUGAGAAUGAUUAAACGAGAGAGAAAAGAAACACAAAGUACUAAUUUGGUUUGAUAUGAAAUUCUCUUUCUUCUUUGCUCAUUUCUUUUCUUUUCUGUUCAAUUUAGUGGGUUUAAUAUGAAAUUCUCAUUUUCAAUGACAAAAUGUGGUUAGUGUCUGCAAUGAAUUGGAUAACACUUUAUAACCGGUUGUAAAAACUAUGAUAUCCAAAUCCAUUUAAAUGGGUCGGUUUAAACCAUUUGAACACAAAUCCGGUUUUUUAAAUAUGGUUUUGGAUAUGGAAAUGAACUUAGUUAUAAAAUUGGUUAAUAUGCACACCCCUACAUGCAAGUCUUCACGUGGUGAACACUGAAGAUAUGAAGGUUGGGAGCAUUUACUUUCGUACUAGUAUAUAUAAGAGCUCAUUUGUAGAGCUCAGGGUGUACAUUUUACUACAAAAAUUUCACUUAAAACUUGAAGUAUUAGCGUCCAGAGAAAAGAGUCAUGGUUGAGGGAAUGUAUGCACAAUGAAACACCAUCUUUUAUCUUCAAUGCAAAGUCUUUAAAAUUCAUUUUACUUUGCCUUACCAAUUUGCGUGUGGUUUCAUUUAACUGCAUUGCUUUUAUACUUUCAAUUCUUGUUACUUUCGUUACGUUCUUUACAUUUUCAACAUUGUCGAAGUUUGCGUCUUUUACACUCUCUAAAUUACUAUUUCGACUAAGUCAAAAGUAGGUUGUUUAUCAAAGGAAAACUAUACAGAAAGGUUUUUUGGCACUAUGUCCUAGGAUUCAAUAGUUGAUCCUACAAGUAAACUUUAACUAAGAGACUAACGCUUGCUUACCAAUUUUCCAUGUAAACAAAUUGGCACGCCCAAUAUUCGAUCAUGAAGUGGAAAAUCUUUUUCCAAAAUGUCGCGCCCUCCUGUAGAUAAUGUCAACCCCUAGAAUAAUCCUCAAAAUGUAGUACAAUAACCAGCCGUAUGAACGGUUGAAGAGUCUGUUGCCUCAACUCCUGUUAGGAUAACGACUAUGGUGGUGUCAGCGAAGGCAACCAUGCUAAUAUUGUCACAGGGAGUAACUCCCCCAAAACGGCCUCAAAGUGGGACUCCACAUACCUAAUUUUGUAUCCCCUUUCUCAAAAUAUGUUUGACAAAUGAAGUUACCCAAGAGAUGGAAAGCAUAAAGUUUACCAAAUUCACCGUAGAUACCAUUGGGUCAACAGUUGAACAUGUCGUCCGGUGCCAAACUAAGGCGGACGACAUUGCUAACAAUGAGAAUUUAAAGAUAAAAUAUUUCCCUAACUCUCUAACUAAGAAUGCUUUAAUUUGGUUCACAACUUUUCCUCCACACUCUGUCCAAUCAUGGAGUCAGUUGGAGAGACUGUUCCAUGAACAAUUUUACAUGGGACAGACGAAAGUCAGUUUGAAGAAGUUGGCCAGUGUUAGGCAAAAAGUCCCUGAGUCGAUAAAUGACAAUUUGAAUAGAUUUAUACUUCUCAAGGAAAUGUGUUUCACCCAGGUGCUUGAACAUGAGUUGGUCAAAAUGGCCACUAGUGACAUGGACUAUUCAAUUAGGAAAAAAUUAGAUACUCAAUAUCUUAGGGACAUGUCACAAUUAGGAGAUAAGGUUUUCCAAGCCGAACGCUUGAAGGAUGAAAUAGAUAGAACACAUAAAUACCAUAAAAAGGAAAAAGUCGGUUAUAUAGAAGUAGAUGAGUACAUAUUUGAUGUAGGCAAUGAUUGUUCUGAAAAGGGCAACGCCUAUGUGGCUGAACAUAAGCCAGGACCCCCUUAUGUGUAUAAAUUUGCUGAAACCAUCGUAUUGUACCCCAAAUUUUGACCUUCUUUCUCCUAACCUAGAUUUACGUCACUGACAUGUCUAAAGUCCAUGUAAGUCAUUUGAUCAAUCCCAAUGACCUAAAAAGUCAAAAGGGGGUCAUUUUGACUUUUUAAGCCUAUGAUCUCAUCAUUGAUUAACUACUAUAGCUUAUGACUUAGUUUAACAUAAUUAUUUGUUUUUUACCUUAGUUAUUAAUCAUGAUUUUUUUUUAAGAGAUGGUGAUUAAUUUCAUAUUGAUUAAACAUCAUCAAUUGGAUUAAGUGCAUUGUCCUUUGAUUAAUUUAUAAAGUUGGUUAGAUUAAAUUAAUUAAGCAAUUAGAUUAGGUUCAAGUUAUGUUUAAUUAGAUUAGGGCUAGUGGUAUUAAGAUAAUGUUUAUUAAUCAUUUUAUUAACUAAUUAGUUUUUAGAAUAUUUGACUAAAUUUUGUUAUAAGUUUUAGUAUUUAUUUAAGUUCGUUUUCUUUGGGUUGGUUAAGGGGGUUGACCGAAGCCCAGGUCCAACUGGGUCAGUACGAGACCCAGGUCCACUUCAAUUGGGUCAAGUGACCCAAGCACACCAUCUCACAGGGUCACACCCAUGACCUGGCCUAAUCCCCCAAUUCCCAAUCCCCAAUUUUGCCCCCAGAAUACCCUUAAUCAUGCGCAAAGAGAAAACAAAAUGGAUCAGAGCAUAAUUUGGAUAUUUAAUCGAAAACUUCCAUUAAUAGAAUUCUGUUACAUUACAUAGUACCAAAUACAGAGAAUUCAGACCAAAUACAUUGCAUAUUCUAAGAAUCCUAAUUCUUAACUAAAUCAAAUUACAAAUCAAAUAAGAAUUUCCUAUAACAAAUCAAUCAAAUUAAAAUUAAAACAUAACUCUAAGUCUAUAAAUACCUAAAUCUAAAAACAGAGAGGGGACAAAAAAAGAGGGACAUUUGGAACCCUAAGAACAACGCGCACUAGCCUUAAACCCCCCACUAAAGGUCCAAAGAAUCUGAUACUCAGGGUUUUCACACUGAAACCCUAAGUAUAUGAGUUAAGCCUCAGUGUCUUUACCGGCAAAAAGAAAGAGAAGAAGAUUAGAGAGAGUCAGAAAAAGAACACAAGCAAAAAUAAAGAAGACGAACAAAGAAAGAAGGGAGUGGAGGAUGCAACUUAAGGUUGGACACUACAGGAAAGGUAGGCCCCAAACCCUUUAUCAAAGCGUGCUUGCGUCUAUAUUUUUUUCUUUUAGGUUCACUAAGGACAGGGUUUUAAUUCAUGAUGUUGUUUUGAUGUUGCAUUGGGUGUAUUGUGGUAUAUUAAUUGAUGUAGAUUUUGUUCUAAUCUGCGUAGCCUAAGGGUAUUUCUGGAUUUAGGGUUAGGUUUAUGUUAGGGUUCAUAAGGGUUAGUGUUAUGGUUUAUAAGAACCCAGUUAGAGUUCAUUCAGGUAAACUAUUUGGGUUAGGGUUCUAAGGGUUUUGGGUUCGAAGCCUUUUUGGGUUGGUGUUCAUCACCCAGAUGAACACCGGUUGGAUAUGAGAAGAUCCCAGUUGAACUUCAAUCGGAGAUCUGGGAAACCAAGGUAGUUCAAGGGUGAUUUAUGGGUUGGUGUUUGAAGGUUCCGGUUGAAGCUCAAUCGAAAACCUGGGUUGGAAGGUGGUUUAGGUUGUGGUCGGGGUACUUGAGGGUGGUCGAAGAAGGGACGGGGUUGAGAGAGGAGAGAGGAAUUUAGAGAGGGAACGAGUUAGAGAGAGGGGGAAAUGGGAAAUGAGAGUUUCCUGAAGGAAACUCUAAUUUAUACCCUUUCCCAACAGCGAUUGAUUGUCUACAAGUGGCCUCCUGAGGGUCAUAGGAUUGACAUACUUUGACCAUUCUGAUGCGGGCAUCCACGCUAAAGUCUCGUGUUGACUUCGCUCCACAACCAUCCGUUUUGUCUACUUUGACUAGUAAACCACAUCAACGACCACAAUGACAUCACCAUCAGAUCCUUUUGAUUUGGAUCAUGUGAUCCAGAGAGAGUUAACUAUUGACUCUCUCUUUCUCUAUGGACACUCCUUUAGUGCGUGGGCUAUAGCGCAAACGGGUCUAAAACCCAUUGAUUCUUACACCCCCCAUCUUACCAAGCUCAUUACUACCUAGUAGGAAAUGUACCCCCUUUAGCUAAUUUAUUUAAUUUAAUUAGAUUAAUUCAUUUUUCUAAUAAUUUUUUUAUAAUUUAUAAUUUAUUUUUAGAAUCUAAUUGAUAAAUAAUUAGUUUGAUUAAAAUAAUUAAUUUUCAUAAUCAAGAGUUAAUUUAAUUUAAUUUUAAAUUACAAAAAUAUGCUUUAAUAUUUAGGGUUUUUAUUAGUAUAUCUUUACGAUUAAUUUUAGGGCUAACUUUUGGGAUAUUACCGAGGGAGUUAGGGUUUAAUCGAGAUCGUAAUGAUUUUUCCCUCUUAUCUAAUUAUGCUUAAAAUUUCAAAUAAAAAUCAAUUAUGUAUAUAGUUACAUCAUUUAAUUUAAUUCCUAUAUUAAGUUAAUUAUAAUAUUUUUGCCAACUAAUCAAUUAACAUAAAACCAAUGCCACACAUUCAAAAUUUAAGUCAUUUUCCCUUGUGCAUCAAAGUUAAUUAUAAUAUUUUUGCCAACUAAUCAAUUAACAUAAAACCAAUGCCACACAUUCAAAAUUUAAGUCAUUUUCCCUUGUGCAUCGAGCCAUUUUCAAAAUCAAUCAUUUCUCCGUCCCCGAUUCAUUGAGAAAUUUCACAAUCUAAAAAACACAAAACAAACAAAUAUUUUUGAGAAGAACGACGAUGUUCUGAUCUUUCACCUAAUGUGGAGGUAUGUAGGCAUAGAGUAUUAACACUCUAGCGAGUACGAUAAUCAAAAACCUUUUCUGUGUUUAAUUCCAUUAAUCAACUUAUUUCCUCAAAAUAAUAGCAUUCUAUUAAUAUAUAAAUAGAUGAGGAAUAUAGGAAAACAUCCUCUUAGAAACACACACUAAUCUUAGGAUUUAGAGGAGGAUCCCAUUGAAUACAAUGGAAGUGAGGGGUUUUUAAUACCUCCCCCUUGCUUAACCGGCUCCCAGACCUUAGUCUUUCACCCAUAUCUAUUACAUUUUAUCAUUAUUUCUCUGGUCCUUAGGAACAAAUAAGGAUGAUGGCGACUCUGUGAUUUUUCCAUCCGCGACUAAUCGAAUGGAAAAAACCAUAUCAAGAUCAACAAAAAUGAGAAGUUCGCCACUAGAACUUAUACGUUUGAAAUUACAAAAUGCGACGAAAUAUUCUACUUGUUGGUUACAAAUGGACAUAUUAUAGUGCUUCCUGGCCUAAAAACUCCUCCUUUAGAACAAAGGAAGAAGAGAGGUUUUUGUAAGUACCAUAAUUUUCUAGGUCAUAAAACUUCUCAAUGUGUGCUUUUCAGGGAUUUGGUUCAAAAAGCUCUAAAAGAUGGAAGGUUACAAUUUGGCGAAAAACCAAAGUCAUAAAUGUAUGUGGACUCGGAUCCCAUGCAGAUAGAAGAUGCUCACUAUGUUAAGCCUAUGGAAAUUCUGAUGGUUGAAGAUGUUACUAUGUUAAGCCUAUGGAAAUUCUGAUGGUUGAAGAUGUUGAGGGCUCCAAGAUGGAAGUGACAAGGGUGAACAAAUUUCUACUAUCACUGAUUCUGACACACAAGCAGUGUACCCCCAGUUUGAAGAGGGGUUGAUCGAUUUCCUUGAGCACUGCAAGAUUAAUGAUUCUAAGACGAUGCUUUGCUCAUGUUGUUGUGUCGUGUUUGACGAAGAGGCGACAAAGACGCUAGAGGGCACAAGGAGAUUUGACCUGAGAAGAGGAUGAGGUGGAAGUCAAGCUGCUAGAUUUUCCCCAAACAAUUGGGAUAGACCUCGUAGAAACAAAUAAUAUAAGAGGAAAUUUCAACAGCCUUGACAGAGGACUUUCUGACCAUCAGCAAGCGUACCUAAGGAGAAAUGGGUGAAACCCUUAAAUCAGAAAGGGGAAAAUUACCUCAAAUGGAAGGAGGUUGGUCUCAAGGUGGGGAUACCAAAUCAUAACAAGCAGAAACUGUCGAAGGGGAAAUCUCAUGUCCCUCUAAAUGACAUUGGCAACAAUCUCAUGAUCCGCAUCCAAUGGAGGCGUCAUCAACGAAAAAAAGGCUGAAAGGGAAGCCUUCGUAAAAAAGUGGGAUACCCUAGAGGCAAAGUGUAAUAUAGCUGCAUCGAAGGCUCAAAGGAAGCCUUACUCGAAGAAAUUCAAUAAGGAAGACAAGCUGACAGCCACUCAAAGGCCACCUUUGAAGGAAGCCUGCAUGGGUAAAGGGGCAUCAAGGGUGAGGGUGAAGACGCAUGAAUACUCUCCACGGCCUACAGACAAAACUCCAGAAUACACUCCCCAGGAUGAGGAGGAGGAACCCCAUUAUACUCCUCAUCUAGAGGAUAAAAAGCCAGAGAACACACCCCAAUAAGGUGAUGAAAUGGUUGAAGACAACCUUUAUGAAGGGUCUGAGGAUAACUUACAAGUUAACUAUGGCAUAGUCUCAGUGCUUCCAGCUGAAUACGAUUGGGUGUGUCAGGUAUUCGAGGCUGAAGCGAACUUCGUACAGGACCAAGUUGAUAACUAGAAGCCUCUUUAUUACUACAUCAUGAAUAUUGGUGUGGUCGAAGAACAACAAGAUUUGUUUGAAAGGCUUGAUCCAGGAAUGAUGUAUCACCUGAAGCCGCUAUUUAUUAGGGAGAAGGUAGAAGGUAUUCUUGUCAAUGAAGUGUUCGUAGAUGGAGGCCUGAUAGUUAAUUUAAUGCCGCAUUUAAUAUUCAAUAAAUGGGGAAGACCGAUUAAGAUCUUAGGCCCCAUAAUAUGGUGUUGUCCAAUUAUAAGGGCAAGACCGUCAAUAUACUAAGUAUAAUCUAGAUAGACCUGUCAGUUGGCUCAACAUCUAGGUCAACAUUAUUCAUGGUAAUCAAGUCCAAUGUUAUUUAUAACUUAUUGCUUAGACGCGAGUGGAUACACAAAAUCAAUAUGGUGCCUUCGACAUUGCACCAAAGAGUUGUGAUUUGGAGGGAAGAUGGUAUCUUCGAGAACAUAGAAGCCGUCCAGAGUUAUUACAAAGCUGAAGUAGGCAAGGUCGGAAGAAAAGACUUUGAUAGGAACUUGGCGAAGAUACCCCCCAUGCUAUGUUGUAGAGGAGUUAUAUACUUCCGAGAGAGACUCCACCUACUCACUAAGCCUACACCUGAACUAUGGGUUUAUUUGGGACAAGAAGCAGAUAUGGAAUGUUCCUAUCGAAAAAGGGAGUCUACCCCUUACGAGGUGGAUAUUGGUUGAUGAGAAUGACUGAUGAGUCAAGAUCAUUGGCUUAAAUUUCGGCUUAUAUGUCCAAAAAUAGAAUAAACUUGACCUUAGAGGAUGAUGCUGAUCAAAAUUUGGAUUUCUAAGCCAAUGUCGAAAGCUUUGAGGAACUUGGAGGUGGCCUUAUGGGCCAGACAACAGCUUCAGAAAGCAGGAGGCUCGAUUGCAUUAAUGACAAUGAGCCUUUGGUGUUUGAAAAAAACCCACUAGAAACUGACAAGAAAAUGUAGGCUCAAAACCCUCUUAAAGUGGUAGAAUUGAGCGAGGGAGCAGCGAAGCGGCCAACGUACACCAGUGCCAGGAUUAAACUAGUAAUGAAAAAUAAAGUAGUCGAGCUGCUUAAAGAAUAUAAAUAUUGUUUCGUAUGGGACUACAACGAAAUGCCAAGACUAAUUCGAGACAUGGUGGAAUUAAAGCUGCCAAUUUGACCUGGCAAGUAACUGGUGAAGCAGUUGCCAAAAAGGUUUGCACCAGAGAUAAUGUUAAAGAUCAAGGAAGAAAUCGAAAGGAUGCUCAAAAAUAAGUACGUAAGAAUGACCAGGUACGUCGAAUGGUUAGCUAAUAUUAUUCCAAUUAUAAACAAAAAUGGUACUCUUAGAGUUGGCAUAGACUUUAGGGAUCUAAAUAAUGUUACGCCUAAAAACUAAUACCCUAUACAUAUGGAAAAAAUGCUAGUUGAUCCAGCUGCAUGUCAUGAGUAUUUAAUUAUGUUAGAAGGGUACUCUGAUUAUAAUAAAAUCUUUAUAGCUGAGGAGGACGUUCCUAAGACGGCGUUUUGAUGCCCACAUGAGUUAGGCACUUAUGAAUGGGUAGUGAUACCCUUUGGUCUAAAAAAUGUUGGGGUGACUUAUCAAUGAGUUAUGAACUAUAUGUUUCAUGAAUUCAUCGAGACUUUUAUGCAAGUCUAUAUCGAUGACAUAGUCAUAAAAUCCCCAUCAAGAAAUGGCGAUUUGGACCAUUUUCGACAUUCUUUUCAAAGGAUGAUAAAUGAAUCCAUUAAAAUAUGCUUUCUAUGUUGGUGCAAGAGACUUCUUGGGACUCGUGGUGCACAAGAAAGGCAUAGAGAUCAAUCCGAAUAAGGCAAAAGCCUUUGUCGAUCUCAAGCCUUCUUCGACAAAGAAGCAACUCCAGUUUUUUUUGGGGAAAAUAAAUUUCCUGAGAAUGUUCAUCUCAAACCUAAGUGUUAAAAUUUAGUUGCUCUCGCCACUGCUUCGACUCAAGAAAGACAACAAUUUCAUUUGCGGGAGGGAGCAACAAGAAGAUUUUGACAACAUCAAGCAAUAUCUGAUGAAGCCUCCAGUAUUAUUACCUCCAAGUAGAACUAGUAGCAUAAAUUGUACAUAACUGUGUCAGAUUCGAACAUAGGUAGUAUGUUAGCUCAUGAGGAUGAUAAUGGUGUCGAAAGAGCCAUAUAUCACCUUAGUCGAAUCUUAAUAGAUGUAGAAACUAGGUAUAACUCGAUUGAAAAAUUAUGUUUAUGCCUAUACUUCUCAUGUACUAAGUUGAAGCAUUAUAUAAAACCGGUGGAAGUUUAUGUUUACUCUCAUUUUGACAUGCCUAUACUUCUCAUGUACUAAGUUGAAGCAUUAUAUAAAACCGGUGGAAGUUUAUGUUUACUCUCAUUUUGACGUUAUUAAACAUAUGUUAUCAAAGCCCAUAUUGCAUAGUCAAAUAGGGAAGUUGGCCUUGGCACUUACCGAAUAUUCACUGACUUAUUGUCCUUUGAAAGCAAUAAAAGGACAAAUUAUCGCAAACUUUAUUGUUGAUUAUUCAGUGGUUGAGACAAUGGAGGCAUACGUAGAAACUAGGCCUUGGAGGUUAUACUUCGAUGAUUCCAGGCAUAAAGAUGGAGCUAGAGUAGGAAUCUUUAUCUUUUUUCCAGAUAAACAUAUCGACCAAGUUUAGGUAUAAGAUCAAGAAGUCAUGUUCCAACAAUGAGGUCGAGUAUGAAGCCUUGAUAACAUGCCUUCAGAUUUUAUUGGACUUGGGGGAAAAUCACAUCGAAAUAAAGGGAGAUUCGGAGCUUGGGGGAAAAUUACAUUGAAAUAAAGGGAGAUUCGGAGUUGGUGGUUAGACAAUUGAAGAAAGAGUAUAAAUACAUCAAAGAGAACUUGAUGUUAUACUUUGUCAGAGCUAACUUUUUUCUAAAACAUUUUGAUCACAUUUUGAUUGACCAUAUUCCUUGACUGGAGAAUCAGAAGGUCAAUGACUUGGCUCAAAUAGCCCGAGGAUAUAAAAUCUCUAAAGAGAGGUUGGAAGAUUUAGUCGAGAUAAAGGAAAAAUUUGUCUUGGAAGAGAACCCUCAAGAGACACCGUCAAUGUCAAAACUUGGAGGGGAGGGGAGAAUAUGAGGAUCCACCAAACUUAGAAAAUUCUGAGUUUGAUAAGUUUUCAAAGUAUGAAGUUUUGGACAUUGACUUAAUGUCAAAUAAUGAUUGGAGAAAACCUAUAGUCGAAAUUUAGGAAACCCGACACGAGUAACUGAUCGAAAAAUCAAAUACAGAGCCCUAAGUUAUAUAGUCGUGGGAAAUGAGUUGUUGAAGAAAACUCCUGAAGGGCUUCUGCCUUGGUGAAACAAGGUGUAUUUGGAGACCUCUGAGGUGCAUAGAGGAUCAUAUGGAUCCCACCAGGAUGGUCACAAGAUGAAAUGGUUAUUGUUUCAACUAGGGUUCUAUUGGCCAACUAUGUUGGAAGAUUGCAUAGAUUUUGCCAAAUGUUUCCGAGAGUUCCAAAAACACUAAGGUAUUCAACAUGUGUUGGUGAGCUACAUUUAAUAGUUAAUCCAUGGCCUUUCAGAGGUUGGACUUUAGACAUAAUUCGCGAGAUCAAGCCAUCUUUGUCAAAAUGGCAUAAGUAUAUUUUAAUGGGAAUAAAUUAUUUCACUAAGUGGAUAUAAGCCAUACCCCUGCCUAAUUUCGACCAUGAGGAGGUAAUAAGUUUCAUUCAGAAUACAUUAUAUAUAGAUUUGGAAUACUUGAAACUAUUACCACAGACCAAGGCUCGGUUUUCACAUGGCGCAAAAUGGUGAGUUUGCCUCAGAAACGGGUUUCAAGUUGUUGAACUCGACAUCGUAUUAUGCCAACACCAAUAGUCAGGCCGAAGCUGCAAACAAAAUUUUAAUUGGUUUGAUAAAAAAGAAUGUGGGUCAAAAGCCAAAGAAUUGGUAUAAAAACUUAAACCAAGUCCUAUGGGCAUGUCACAAUUCUCCCAGAGAAUCGAAUAAAUCUACACCAUUCUGACUUGUUUAUGGACACGAUGCAGUCCUGCCUUUGAAAGUUUUUCUACAAUCUGUUAGGAUCAAAAGGCAAGCUGAGGUCCCCACUGAAUGUUCUUUGGGCACGAUGUUCGACAAAGUGGUUGAGUUAGACGAAGAAAAAUUAUCCACUCUAGAUGUCUUGAUGAGACAAAAAGAGAGAGUUGCUAAAGCUUAUAAUAAAAAUAUUAAGUCCAAAACAUUCAAAUUGGGAGAAUUAAUGUGGAAAGUCAUAUUGCCCAUGGAUUAGAAAGAUAGAGUUUUAGGCAAAUGGUCCCCAAAUUGGGAAGGGUCGUUUAAAAUUCUGCAAGCGUAUUCAAAUAGUGCAUAUGAAGUCAAAAAAUUGAUAAAACCCGAGAAAGAACGACAAUGAUUAUGGUCGUCGCAGCCAAAUCAGGGUUCGGGAGUCGGUUACGCAAGGGGAAGGUAUUAACACCCCUCACGUCCGUUGUACUCAACGGGAACCAUUAGGUUAAUUGUGCGUGUUAGUGUUAGCUUGAAAUGUUAGGCUUCUCAAGUUAUUAUGAGGGAAAGAAUAAUAAGAUCAAAAGAAAAGAGAAGAUAUUUUUGGAUUUUUUUUGCAAUGAAGGGGACUAAACCUAAGUUUUUUAUUAAUGGGCCUGACAAGAUUUCGCAAUCCUGCUCCUACGUAUCUCAAUAGAGAACUCAAGACUUACGUAGUUCUGGAUAGAAAAUGUUUGUUUGUAAGUCAAAAUUUUAGCAAAAUCUAUCUUGUGUUAAUCAACGAGAAACAUUGUUUUACCCAAAACAGAUGAGGAGCGGACGUAUACCACACAUCAAAUGGAUUUACAAAUCAACAUUCGGAAAAAUGUCACUUAUCUCAACUAAACAAUUAUGGACGAAGCAUUGAUUUUCACCAUCUUAAGACAAGUUUUCUUUCGUUUAUGGAAAGUUUUUAAAGAUUGCACGGCGGCGAAGAAAAGAGUUUGAUUGGUUGAAAGUGUUUUUGGGUUUGAAAGACGAGUAUUUAUGACUUGUAAGCUCUUACAACUUUGGUAUAAUACUCGGGACUACAUCUGAACCUUUCACCCAAGUAAUAUUUUUCUUCCAAUUUCAAUUAUGAAAACGGUUUGAAUAUUUACAAGUGUUUUAGAGGAGAAGACGAAUACAUAGGAUUUACAAACUCUUACAACUUAGGCCAAAUAUUCGGGAUUACGACUGGAUAUUCCAUCCAGGGUAAUCUUUUUCUUCAGAUUUUAUUGAGAAAAAGAUUUGAAUAUUGGAGUGUUUUGAAGAGAAGACAAAUACACAGGGCUUACAAGCUCUUACAACUUGGGCCUAAUAUUCGGGAUUACGACUGGAUAUUCCAUCCGGGGUGAUCCUUUUCUUUAGAUUUUAUUCAGAAAAAUAUUUGAAAUAAAAGGCUAAUGUAAAGGUUCGAGAUUGAAAUGACCGAAGUAUAGGAUUUUGAAAUCAAAAGAAGUUGAAUGCAUGUCUCCACAAAGGCUUGAUAUAAAGGAAACCAAAAUAACUUUAUUAUAAAUAAAUAAAUAUGAAUAAAAAAUAUAAGUUUCUUUUUGACGCAUAAAAAAACAAAAAUAGAAUAAAAACAACGAUGUUUUGAAUUAAAUGGAGAUACAACAAUGAUUAAUCUAAAUUAAAUAGUUACAAAAGAAAAAUAAAGAAAGACAAAUCUAAGAAAAUAAAAUUAUAUGAAAAAAAAGUGCCUAAAGCCAAGAAUCGAACUAUGGGCCUAGUGGAAGAUAUGAGAAGUCUCAACCACCAGGCCAGGAGCGGUUGGUUGGAAAACCAUUUCACCCAGCGAUAUAAAACAUGAUUUAAAUGAAAUUUUUUAAAAUAAAAAAGAAAUGGGUCGCGGAUAAAAGACCCACAUGGGAAUCUUUCUUGGACUUCGGACGCGGGUCAGGAGCUCCGGGUCGGAACUCAACUGACCCGGCCGACCAAGAUAACAAAAAAAAAGUCACUUUGGAUGAACCCUAGCCACGUGACCACUCUUCUUUCUUCUGUCAAAGGAGACGAAGACCAAAUACAUGGCCGAAACAGUUCUUAUAACUUCGUUCGAUGAAGAACAUCCUUCUGUCGUGACCGUUCAAGCAAGAUGGUCCUACCCUCACCAUCUGUCGUCGCGGCCGAACAACUUGAACCUCUCCAUCCGACGAAGAACCUAUGUCCGCCGUGACCGUUCAAGCAAGACGGUCCUACCCUCACCAUCCGUCGAAACGACCAGCCAAAGCCUCCAGACGGCCAACCCUAGCUCAACGGAUCUCGUUCCUCAUGGUUUCAAAUCUCUCGGUGAUGAAGUAACAGUCAAACAAGAAAAACGGGCAACAAAAACGUAUAGAAACCAAAGCAUAUGUAUUGAGCAAGAUAAGCAAUGCAGAGUUCAAAAUAUGAGUAAGAAGAAAAAAAAUUAUGAAACAAGACUGGCUAGGAAGGGUACCGAUUUCAGGUACGUGCCUCUGUUUUUUUGCUUUUGUGAUGAUAAACGAUUUUCGGUUAGAUAUGUGGUUUUUUGCCUGAGAAAUAUUUUGAAGCUAUUUAGUUACUAGUCUCUUUUUUUUAAUUCCCCCUACUCUUCUAAUAUUGUUAUUGUUAUAUAUCAAAACAUUAGGGUUUAAUCUUAAACAUGAUGUUGUGCUUUUGUUUCAAAUCGGAAUAAGGUUAUUCAUCUUUCUAAGAGUAUCAAAAUUUCUCGUGCAAACUUGUGUAAUUUUCCUGCUACAUCUCAAAGUGUCAUACUCAGUUCUACACCUUAUUGUCUUGCCUCUUGGAUUGAUACUUUAUUUCCAAAAAUUGUUAAUGUCUACUGCUGUACUUUUCUGUUUGGACAGGUUAAAGGAAAAAAGAUGCUCUACAAAUAGGACAAAAUUUGAAGUGGGCGAACCAAAUUCAAGUGCUUGAGGGCCAGUUGCAAAACAAACUUCCUUUUUGUGACAAAAUGCUGUAAAAAGAAAAACUUGCCUUGAACCAAAACAUGCCAUUUUUUGUGAUUUUGUUACUGCAACAUAUAUCUUGCAUGUAAUAGAAAAUAAACUAAUAUUUAAAAUCUUUUUAUUGGUUUUAUGAUGUAUAAAUAGAGUGAAAUGUAACUUAUUGUGUAAUGAGAAGAUUCUUUUGAAAAUAAAAACUAUAUUGGUUUUAUGAUGUAUAAAUAGAGUGAAAUGUAACUUAUUGUGUAAUGAGAAGAUUCUUUUGAAAAUAAAAACUUAUGGUUUAUUAUUUUGAAAAUUGGUUUGCAACUUCAAUUCAAAUUUAUAAACCACACAUAAAAAUAAAUAAGAUCCAAACUUGUUUUAUUUAUUUAUUUAUGGAAUAUAAGAAAUAGUUAGAACUAAGGCAAAAAUAAACUCUACUCACACAACUAUUCAAUGGAAUGCAACAAAGUGCCAGAUGCAUGAAUGAAAUCACAAAAUUUAAUGAUUGAACUUUAUUCAAACAAAAAGAUCAUAAACUAUACAAAUUAUCAAUCUAAUGACCUUAAUGAUGUAUGAUAAGAGUGUGUGAACCUAAACAAAGUAACAAACCAAAAUCAUCUAGUUCUUGAUUAGUAUACUUGACUUAUACACGGAAAAAGAAAUUUAUGAUCAGAUGAAAUGGUCCUAAGAGAUUAAAUUGAACAAUAGGGUGUAGAUGAAUAAUAUGAUUGCAAAUGAAUGAAAAAUAACUGAAUGCAGAUGAACUUAAUGCAUAUGAAUGAAUGCAAAUGAAAUAAUGCUAAAUGGACGAAUUCAAAUCAAUUAGGUGGGGGAAAAUUUAGGGUGUGACAUUCUGCAAAUCUUUGAUCUCUUUCUUCCAACCGACAAUGUUGGUAUGCAAGGGAGCAACAAGGUUGUCCUCCUGAUGAAGACUUUAUUCCAGUUGUUCAGUACACAUGUCAUCAUGCUUCCUCUGGAAAUCAACAAGAAAUUGGUCAAAGAGGGGCCUAAAAGUGACUAUAAAAUUGACUACUUCGACGGGGGAAUCAGAGACAUCAAGCUUUUUUCAGUAGAGUCUUGAUAUUGUAGUCAUAGAUUAAAUCCUUCUCCAAGACCUCAAAAAGAUUAAUUCCUCCAACAAGGGUCUUCGGCUAUUUCAGAAUUUCAUCAACAGUCUCAAGUUCAUUCGUUCCUCCAGAAACGGUCGAAGGGCUUGAAAACUUAUCAAUGGAGCUACCCUUGUUGUUAAGAACCAUUUUCAUGUAGACCCUGGGGUUGGUUUUAUUCAGUGCAUCCAUUUCCUCUUUAGAUAGAAGAUUGAUGGGUGAAGUGGCGAGUUUCGCGGUCGACACUUCCAAAUUUUCUUUCUCCACAUUGGGGGGUAGUCACCUUAAUGGGUUGUUCAACAUCAUUUAAAGUGUCAUCAACUUUGUUUUAUGGUUGGGCAUCUUGAUUGGGUUGAGUACUUCCGGGGAAAGUUGGUUUCUUUGGCUCUUCUUGUUCAAGGCUAUUCCUUGGUGAAGUGUCAUCCAUGUCCAUUUGGUUCUUCUCUUCUUCUUCGGAUGCUGAAGAGUUUGAUUCAGAAAGGGAGGCUUUCCCAGUCGAUUGGUGAGAGGUGUUGUCACCAGCCGUUAUGGGUUUGUUGACUUCGUUGGUAAUGGUUGUGGUAGCAGCAGGUUGAUGUACUGGUAAGUUGUUGGUUGGAGCUAGUUUUUCAGUGAGUGCAGUCACAGGCUGUGUCGAGGGUUUGUCCUAUAGAAAAAUCAAGCGUGAAUACUCAAUAUUAAAAAUUUUGAGAAGGAUAAAAAUAGUGGAUUUACCUUUAAGGUAUUCGCGUCGGGGCUAGAGUUAGCAUAUUUCCUCGCCGCGUCGGCCAUCUUCACACCUUUCUCUACGGGAACUUUCUUCCCCUUCUCCGCCUUAGAAAUGAGAGUACUUUAGUGAUGGAUGGAAUCUUCUUGGCACCAGCACCUCGUGUUUUCUUUUUAUGUGGAUGAGGCUCAAGGGAUGAAUCUUCGAUAGGGAUCGGUUCAGGAAUGGUUGUAACAGAUUCUCCUUCUGCGUGCAUCAUCAACCUGCACAACAAUUAUACAGAAAGAGUUCAAAUAAAGAAAAAUUCUUAAGUUAAAGAUGUUGAGAAAUACAAAGCUUAGUGUUACAAUGAAAGACCUACUUGGGCAGGUUUGGAGCAAGUUUCCUCGACCUUGGAUUGUUUGAGUGCUAGUUUAGCACUAGAAACGUCCCUAGUCUUAUUCCCAUGUUCGACAACUGUGAUAAAAUAAGAGUAGUUGUAAAUAUAGAGAAUGGAGAUUAUAGAAUUGGAAAGUAGUGAAGAGAUUUUAUUGCUUUCCUCACCCUCAUGCAUGGGAGUUUUAACCCUGACAUGAUCUAUGUUGACAUGAAUGUGGCCUUUGAAACUGUAUAAGUCCAGCUUAGUCGGAGUCACUCGAUGUGCAGUUUUUAGGCACUCAUUUUUAUGUACCUUAAAAAAUUCCCCACAAACAAACCACCAUGGAAAUGGAGGGGAGAAAGCCGGAGCCAUUUCGCUGGUGGAAAAUGGGGAAAUUUAUGAGGUUAAUAAUUCAGGCCAAACUUAUAUUUGUCCUCCACAUAAUCAGGAAUCUUAAGUUUGGGGAGCUUUCCUUCCAUUUUCUCUUUCAGAGUAACCGCUACCUCACAGAUCAUUCGACUAAGGUCAUUUGGGUCGUACACCAUUUCAUAGUAUUUCUGGAAAGCUUGAAUCUCUUUGAUGUCUUUAGAUCUACCUUUGUGGAAUUUUUGCUGCAAAGAAGAGAAAGCAUCUGUGAUGUGUUAGCUUAUUGUUGUAGCAUCCAUAAACUCUUUUGUAUAGUAGGCUCUCCACCUAAUAUCAAAAUCUUAGAUGCAGUAGUAGGAGAGCUCAAAAGCAAACAGAGCAAGUAUGGGAAGAUCAUCAGCAUGCCGAGCUAUCCUUUGAAGGUAAUCAUCUUCGCAGUAGUCGAACGUGCUGAGGCAUAACUCAUUUUUCUUUUUGAUGAAUAGUCGAGGUAUAAUUUGGCUGAUCCCAAAUUGGCGUGAUACUAGGUUGGGUUGAUAACUAAGGAUCUUCACAUCUAAGUCUAGUAGAGAGAAGUUUGGGAGUCAAGAAGGCUUCUCAUAUCCUUUUUUAUUUAUUUUCUUUUGGCUGGAAACUAACGUGUGAACCAUUCAGGUCCAUGUGUUAUUUUAGAGAAGGGGUCAUGGUCGCAAUGAAACUAUAGCACUUGGCGAACAUCAAGAAGUAAGUAAAAAAGGAUUCUCGACCCAACCUAUUUUUAUCAAUUGGGGUCAAAAGGUUCAUUCGAACGUCUUCAAUGCUUCUGCCGCUAAUGAUGGCGUCAGUAUCAUAUGGAUGGUUGACUUUCUGAGAAGUUUUGAACAUGGCGUUGAGCCAUAACUAAAGUAGCCAAAAUGGUCCAGCUAGCAAUAAACCGUCCUUAGGUUUGAUGUUCCUUAAGGCUUCAGGGGCUUCUCAUAUGGAUUCAUAUAGUGACCAUAAGAUUAGCUGGCUAAGGCAAAUAUCUUUUUCCUCAUGCAGCUGGUUGGCAAGAGUCAAAUACCUCUUCACCACCUUCAACGAUCUACCGUAAAAUAUGCAUCUGGAUAACCAUAGUGCAAGGAAUGUAACGUGUUCUUCAACAGUGACUUCAGUGGUGCCAGUAACAUGGUAGUCUUCGAUGUACCUACUGAAGCCUGUGUGAUUGCUGUCAAAAUCAAUGAUAUCUUCGUCAUUCUCGUUGGGGUCGAAGUUUCCACUAGUAGGGAAAAGGCCGAUAAUUCCCGCCACGUCGAAGAACGUGGGUGUCAACAUUCCACAGGGAAGUUAAAAGGUAUUAGUGGUGCUUUCCCAAUAGUAAAGGGACGUGACAAACAUGUUUUGGCAGUAUGCCGGACCGGUUUUCGACAAUUGGAUCAUGUCGAAAAUACCUCUUUAUUUCCAUAUUUCACUCAUUUUGGCUUCUAUAUUAUCUAACCAAGAGAUGUAAUCAUCAUGCUUUUUUGGUUGGGAGAGCUAAGCGAAAGACUCGCAGAGUGGUAGUCAUGUACUCUAGAUUCAUGGGUCCCUUAAUGCUAACUAGGCGUUUUUUCCUAUGAUAAGAGGGGGAAAAUAUCUAAGCUUAGUAAGGUCUUCAGAAGGUUCCCGCGUAGGACAUAUAAGGGCGUGAGUUAUUUCAGAAAAGGUAUAAGGAGUGAGUACUUGAGGUUUAUAAAUAUGCAGCUUUUCCUUAGUGUUUGGAGGUUCAAGAAGGUAUUCUCGAUCUCCAUCUACUGUAGCACAAGGAAGUACUUUGGCCAUGGGGAGUGGAUCUUUGGCUUCCUUAGUGUUCUUUGUUGAAUGAACCAUUGAUGAAAGUUUGAAAAGCUCUGAAAGACGUUGGAAGAAGAAAGUUAUAUGGGUAAGAAAUCUGAAGAAGAUGGAGGAAAAAGACUUGGAAAAUGAAGAAAGAUCUAUUUAUAGCAAGGAAGGAAAAAAAUCUCCAGUCUUCACUUUUGACAAGUGGCGCAAAGCAGGUGGCACGUGUCGUCCCCCCAUAGGAAAGGAUAAAAAAGACCUACACACGUAACCAUGCCACCCUACGAAACCAGAGUCAUAAUGAGUAGAGUUAUGGGAUAGUGGGAAGCACACAUUUUCGAGGUAUGGUUGAAACAAACGUCAUGAUGGUAGUGACUUCAACCCACUAGGUGAAUAGUGUCUGGAAAGAUAAAAAAAUGUCUCUAUCUCCUAGGCUCGUCGAAAUAGGCCUUUAUGCGGGGCAAUUUGUUAGCUAGGAUUUUUGAUUAGGGAAAAAAUCUCAGCCAAGGGCAAAGCUACAAGUACAUUGAUGAUGUGUACCUAAGAGGAGUCUUGGGUCGAAGAGAUUUGGGACUUAGUAUUUUUGAAAUGUUGUAGGAACAUUUCGACCGUGUGGAGUUUCGAUAACAUCAGGAGUAUUGAAGAAGCGGUUAUUUGGGCGCGUAGAUGUUACAUUCAAAUAGGAAUGACUACCUGAGGGUUUCUUUUUGAAGGACAUGUGGAGAGAUCGCAGAGGCGGGCUGCAGGCAUGUCUUCACGUGGCGAACACUGAAGACAGGAACGUUAGGAGCAAUUAUUUUCGUACUAGUAUAUAUAGGAGUUCAUUUGUAGAAUUCGGGAUAUUCAUUUUACUACAAAAAUCUCACUCAAAAUUCGAAGUACUAGCAUCCAUAGAAAAGAGUCAUGACUGGGAGAAUGUAUGCACAAUGAAACGCCAUUUUUUAUCUUCAAUGCGAAGUCUUUAAAAUUCACUUUACUUUGCGUUACCAAUUUUCUUUUAGUUUCAUUUAACUGCAUUACUUUUAUACUUUUAAUUCUCUUUACUUUCAUUACUUUCUUUAUAUUUUCAACAUUGUCAAAGUCUUCAUCUUUUACACUCUUUAAACCAUUAUUUCGACCAAGUCGAAAGUAGUCUGUUUACCAAAGGAAAACUAUACAGGGAGGUUUUUUGACACUAUGUCCUACGAUUCACCAGUUGGUCAUGCAAGUAAACUUUAAUUAAGAAAAUAACACAUGUUUACCAAUUUUCUAUGUAAACAGUAAGCAGUAUGAGAAUCUCAACAUGAAGGACAAUGAGAAGAUACAUGAUUUCAUCAUGAUAACCACACCUGGAAGUUGAUCGAAAACCCUGCAGUCAAUAGGUUAGUUAAUAUAAAUGGAACUUUAAAGUAAAGGAAUGAAUUGAAGGCGUUAUGUAGAAGAGAUUCAAGGCAAGACUGGUAGCAAGGAGCUUCACUAAGAAGGAAGGAUUGGAUUUCAUUGAUGUAUUCUCUCAUGUUGCAAAACAUAGAUCCAUUAGAACGCUUCUUGCUAUGGUGGCUAGGUUCGACCUAGAACUGGAACAGAUGGAUGUCAAGACUGAGAUUCUAUAUGGUGAUCUAGAUGAAACGAUUAUGAUGAAGCAACCUGAAAGGUAUGAAGAAAAAGGUAAGGAGGAUUAUGUGUGCCAACUAAAUAGGUCAUUAUAUGGCCUGAAACAUUCUCCUAGGCAAUGGAACAGGAGAUUCAACAAGUUCAUGGCACACAUAGGUUUUACAAGGAGCAACUUCAAUCAUUGUGUUUAUUUUAGGUUCUCACCUGAAAAAUUCACUUGUCAGUCUAUUGCUUUAUGUGGAUGACAUCGUCAUAGCAAGCAACCUUGUCGAAGAAAUAAUGAGGGUGAAUGAUGAACUUAACCAGGCGUUCAAAAUGAAGGACCUUGGACUGCAACUAGGAUUUUAGGUAUCGAAAUUAAGAGACAUAGAAAGUAGUCAAUAUUCUGCUUAUCUCAAAAGUCACAUCUAAGAAAUAUUCUCGACAGGUUUGGUAUGUCAAACUCGAAAACUGUUAUAACGUCAACAACUCAGCAGUUCAAGCUGAGUAUAACUUAAAUUCCUAGAACUGAAGUCAAAAAGGCAUAUAUGAAUAGCAUUCGAUAUGCUAGUAUAGUGGGUUCUUUGAUGUAUGUUAUGGUUUGUGUCAGGCUUGACAUAGUUUAUGGUGGAGCCAAAGGCGAUGAUAGCAAAGUUAAAGUCGAAAGAUUUGUUGAGUCUGACUAUGAAGGAUGUAUGGAUACCAGGAAAUCUCUUUCUAGAUAUGUUUUCAUUAGUUUGGUACAACAAUCACUAUGAAAGCAACACUUUAGAAGGUUCUAGCCUUAUCAACCAUUGAAGCUGACUAUAUUACCCUCAAUGAAGCUCUAAAAUAAACAUUGUGGCUUUAAGACUUUUCUAAAGAACUGAAACUUCAAGGUCAAUCCAUCACUGUUAAAUAUGAUAGUCAAAGUGUCAUAUAUUUGUUGAAUAAUUCAGCCUGUCAUUAGAAAACCAAGUACAUUGAUGUUAGGUUGCUUUUUGUCAUGGAGAAAAUUGAAAGGGGAGAAGUCAAAGUGGUCAAGGUUUCAACUGAUCAUGAUGUUGUUGUUAUGAUCACCAAGACAUUGUCAAGCAUCAAGUUCUUCUGUUAUAUACAUUUGAUAAAAUUGUGAGAUGAUAAUGUUGUGGAUUAUGGAUUUUGUUCCAAUAUGGAGAUUUGUAGUAUUGGAUCGAGCUCCAGUCUCAACAGGGGUAGCUUCAGGAUUCGACACGGUCGAGUGUGCAUGUUGUAGUCGAAGUUUGUUUAAGCAUGCAGUAGUACAAGAUAGUUUAUAUAUUAUGUUAUGUAACAUACAUAGGUUGUUCUCUCAUAGGUUGGUUGUUAUUUUUUAGUUGUAAUCAUUUAACGCUUAAUGAGAAAGUGAAUGUAAUAACUAUCAUAAGCAACUAUGUUUCUCUUUUCACUACAACAAAUAACGUUUUUUAUGAUGAAGCUUUCACCUUGAACAAUAGAAAACCGAGGUAUAAAGCCAAGACGCACUAUUUUUUUAUUUAAAAAAAUAAAAAACCAUAUAUUCCCUCAUAUUUUCAAAACUCCGAGGUGAAAAAAUAACUCAGUACAAGCCUCGAUUCCCAGUUAUCGCAGUUUAUGAUUUUAUUUGUUUAUAAGUGUAAACAAAAUGUUUUAACCAUUCGGUUUAUAUUUAACCGAGACAUUAAAUAAUAAUAUUUUACUAUAAAAACACUCAUUAAACAUAUUUUAUCCUAGUCCUUACUAAUAUGAAGUUGCCUCAAACUCGUAAGCAUCAUUCUUUGAGAUGGAUUGCAAGACAGAAAAAAUCUUCAAUUUUCUUCUAUCUUGAACAAAACAUUUUUAUGCCCUUCCAAUCUAUCUCACAUAAUGGUUUUGAUAUUUUCGUUUUUGUACUUUUGGAAUAACCCUCGGUUAAAGAAGGGAGCCCAACCUUUGAAGAGUACUCAGUUGAUAAAUUACAAGUACAAAAAAUCAUUCUUGUUUCAAAAAAUUUAUUUUAAAGAGUAUGCAACAAAAUUUGGAUAUCAUCGAAGAUUUGUUGUAAACAAUGUAUUUUAAUAUUCUAAGUAAACAAUUUAAUUUAAGAAAAAAUUUAUUCACCUUAGUUUUAUAAUAAAAUCGAGGUGUUUAAUAAUCAUAUUUUAUUAUAAAAAUACUUCUUAAACAGAUUUUACCCUAAGACUAACUUAUAUGUGGCCACCCCAAAGAGAUAUUCAUUAAACGUUAUUUUAUCCUAGAGAUCUGUUGGAAGAGUUUUGAUGAAUAUAUGUUGGAAAAGAUAUUCACCACUGUCCAUUUGAUCACGAGGUGCUACUAUAGACCUCUGGGAUGGAUUGCAAGUGUAGAAAAUAAAAAUUCUCAUUGGAAAACAGAUCUUUAGCAUCUUGCAUAUGACCUGGAUCUGGAAAAUAAAAAUUCUCAUUAGAAAAUAGAUUUUACAAUGUAUCUUUAAUAUUUUAUGUAAGCAAUGUAAUUUAAACAAAAAUAGCUUAUUCAUUUCGGUUUUCUUCGUGGCCGAGGGGAUAGUCCCUUAGAGUAAUUCAGUUUGCAAGACACAUUUGAGAAUGAAGAUUUGAAAUAUGGUAUAUUCACAUACUCUAGGUUAAAUCCAUUUAUGUUCAAAACACUUUCUUGGUGUAUCGUCCCCAAUGUUAUACCUUAUUUGAUAGAUUAGUUUAUGAACAUUCUGAUUUUUUUUCCACCACUACAUUUCUAGAAUCAAUGUGUGGCCUUCGAAUGGCUUAGGAAUUAGGAAUCUCAUGUGGGAUAUCAUUGUUCAUCGUUACAUUAAUUUUAACACCACUGCCUGGUGCCCAAAACAUCGGCAACUCUAUCCAUUGUCAGUGUGGAUUAUCAUUGUCUAUAAUAAUGCAUUCAAAAAAACGUUAUUAUAAACAUUACUUUUAAUAGCGCUUUAAAACGCUAUUGAAGGUGACUGACCUAUAAUAGCAGUGGUAUUAAUGGCGCUUAAAAGCACUAUUGAAGGUGGCUGAUCUAUAAUAUCAGUGAUAUUAACGUUGAGUAACUGAUGACUACUCUAGAACUCAAGUUGUUAGAAUUGUUGGUCUUAGUUGUAAUUAUAACACACAAUUGUCUGAUUUUUGAAUAUACAAAUGAAAUGUAGAAAAGUAGGUUUGUGUUAUGGAAAGGGCAAGUGAGCAGAGUAUAACAGGGAAGAAUGAGACAGCACCAAGAGUAGAGUAAACUUAGAAGAGCCGGCAGGAAGUCAAUAUGUUAAGAAUUGCCCUUUGAAACCAAAAAAAAAUGUCAAUAGUAGUGAAAGGGUAUAUUAUUAGGAUAAAGUAAAGUGAAAAACAAUAAAGCAUUACUUUUGCAGGAAAAAUAUAUUGAAUCUAUAGCUCAUCCAUAGUGAAAUUUGUAAACUCAACUUGGUGAAACUAAAAUCCAACGUUGCCAGUAGAAAAGAAUUAAUGUGGAUACAUCAAUUAUUUGGUUGAAUAUUUUAAAUGGAGAAUUCAAUCCAACUAUAAAAAUAAAAUAAAAUUUAGUAAUGUAUGUGACCAUAUUUCAAGUCUCUAUUAGAAUUUUUCAUCUAUUUUUAGACAAUCUUGUACUAGAUCUUUGUUAGCUGAAAAUAGUCUCUUUGAAAGGACACAUUUUUGGAAUAUGUAAUCACUGACUGUGUCGGUAACUUGGUGUAUUGAAAAACUAUGCAACUUGUCCAUCCAAUUCACACAAUUCAAACUUCCCCCUAUGAUAACAAAAUCUUGGUGACAUGUUGAAAAUUCAUAAGAAAUAUUGACUUUUGGUAAAUAAAGUGCCACAUCAUACUGAUAAAAUUUGAACAUGCACCUAUGAUUAGUAUAAAAAGCAAGUAGUGACUCGUUGUGUUUCAUGCAGCAAACACACUAACAUGGCUUCCUUACCCUUCCUACUGUUACUCCUUCUUGCUCUUAUCAUUCCUCAAGGGUUCCAACUAUGAGAACCUCCAGUUUAUCGACCACCGCGUGGAACACCUCCCAUCUACAAGCCACCAGUGAGAAGCCUCCAGUUUACAAACCACCGUUUACUAAGCCACCGGUAGAAGAGGAGCUCCGAUACAAGACCGAGAAUGAGAGCUACCAUAAAACCCAGUAGAGAAAGAACGCAUAAAAAACAAAACACAAAAAACAGGGCCCCCCCCGCCCCCCCCCCCCCCUCCUGUCUACAAAGCCGCGGUUGAGAAGCCUCCAGUUUACAAACCACCAGCUAGGAGAAAACCUUCCCGUUUACAAAAGCACCGGUACGGAAGCCUACCCAGUUCUAACAAGCCUCACCGUGGGAAAAGCCUCCAACCUACCAACCACCAGUAGACGAAGCUCCAGUCUACAAAGCCUCCCGUGAAAAGCCUCCACCUAACAAACACACCGCGCUAGAGAAGACUCCAGUCUACCAAGCCUCCCGUUGAAAGCCUUCAACCUCAAACCACCCGUAGAGGCAAAGCCUCCAGUCUGACAAGCCACCAGUUUGAGAAACCUCCGACCUACAAACCACGGGUAGAGAAACCGUCCAGCCAUACAAGCCACCAGUUGAGAAACCUCCGGUUUAUAA
rnacentral:lncRNA from 1 species